rnacentral:lncRNA from 1 species
AGCCGCAUUCAAAUUUCAACUUCAAACGGCUUUUUGGGAUUAAAACCGCUUUUUGGGCUUUUUUAGCGAACGCGUCCGUCCUCUAAUGAAGACAUUACGCACUACAGUGCGCUCAUGAAUGGGAGCUGCAGUGCAGUAGCAACAGCUAUAAUUGAGGCAUUGACUGCCGACCAGUUUGGUGAGGAGACUCCAGUUCAGAACAGACAGCAAAUCAGGCUGUGGCAACCUAAAGAAGGAGAGGAGCGUGGAAAGCAGAUUCCUGCAAGCUGUCAGCAAACAGUAAGGCCUGGCAUCUCUUUUCCUUCACAUAUUUACCCUUCUGACCCAGACACCACCUGUCUACUGCCAUGGUUACGGGGACAGUCCCCUACAGAACAGGUUGGGUGCUCUGGCUUUGGUAGCCUAGGCCUGGCUCUCUGAGGGGUCUCUCUUGGCCCUGGUGUGGAGAGGCGGAUGCAGUUUGAUGCAGUGACACAGACAAGGUGGAGAUUCUCAGCUAGCAGUUAAGGCGUGCCCUUCUUACCGGGUGACAAGCUCGGAGUGCUCAUAAACGCCUGCGACACUCACACAGCGUGGGAGCCAGUGUUGAAAAUAGGUCAACUUCUGCUGAGCAGUGCCGCAGAUCACAUGUCACUUUGUCAAAGAGACCAGUCGACACAAGGAGGGGAGUGUGAAAUUAUAAUAUAAUUUCACACAAAUAUCAGUGCAGUGGAGGAAAAGUUCAUAUUUGUGUUGUAUUCUGUUCUAUUUCAUUAUCAGUAGAGGAGAAACUGCUCUAUUUAAGUGAAAUGAACAGCUUAACAAAGCUAUAAAAAGGAAUACACUUCAGUUAGUUUUUUUCUUGCAGUAAGUAAAGCAUUUAUUUUAAUUUAUUAUAUUUUAUUUUAUUUUAAUGAUGUUCAUUUCUCUACACCCAUUAACUGUCUCCCAAAGAGGUCAUUUGUUUGGUUGGUUACCUAGCAACUAAUAGUGCAUCACUGUGUAUGACAAUUGCUGGGUUCAGCCACUCUCAGCAAAGAGCCCCAGUAAAGAACUCAGUCCCUACUGGUACUGCAGCAGAAAGUGAACACUGUCUCAAAGCCACAUUUACAUUGCAACCGUCUUACAGUUUAAUGGUUUUCUUUAUGCAGCUGUGCAUUUACUGAAGAAUUUCAGGUUGCUUGUCUUUGGCGAUUUGAACCGUGAACUUUUUAGUGACAAGUCUGUAGCCCAUGAGACCACCUCAGUCAAUGAUGAAACAGGCUUGGCAGUAAGCUGUUAUAAAAUGUUUUUUUCAGUUAAGAUUUUUGAUUCUCAUCAUUUUGUUGCAAGAGUUGCAAUGGGAAUUCCUGACAACACAAAUCACCUUUACACUUUUUAAAGGAUUUCCAGGUGUAUGAGAAAAGUUUUUCUUGUAAUGAUUGAUGUUCUGGAGGUUGUGAAGGUAAGGCUGCUCUCAAGAAGUUAGCUGCAAUUUCCAGUUUUUUAAACCAUCAUAUGUUAGACAUUUGUUAUUAUUGUUUGCUGUUAUUGUAAUUAUUGUGAUUAUUAUUAGUAGUGUUCAGGAUAACAUGAUUGGGAUAGCAAGUGAAGUUCCACUGGUGUGGAACAAGUUCUGCUGAGCACGAACACAACGCAAGCUGUUCACAUUUAAAAUGCUGUGUAUUUGCACGUUACACUGACCAUCUCUAUCACGGUAUUAUCUGUGCAGAGACACUGAAAGGGCAAGGACUGUCCUUUGGAGAGUGUGUACUCCAAAAAAGGCCCUUUGGAGAGUGUGACGUGAGAAGGCUUCUUUUGAGGUUAUGACGAGAGACGAACUCUUUGGAGCGUGUGAUGCAAGAAGGGCCUUUGGAGAGUGUGAUGGGAGAAGGGCCCUUUGAUUUAUUCCCCACAUUUAUCUUUUAUUAAAUUUUACAUUAAAAAAUGUUGGAAGAGGAAUGAGGAAGUUGGGAGUUUAAAAUUGUUUUGUAUUUGUUCUUUUAUUUAUAUUUAAUUUUUAGUUCAAGCCCUGAGGCUUGCCACCUGAUGUCUCUUUAGAACUCUUUCUAAAAACUGCCCCACAGAGUUUCAUAAGUUUCCCCAGUGCCUGGUGUCUGUUUUUUGAAAUGUGUCCUCACCUCUGCACAUCAUGUAUAGCUUGAAGUAUAUUUUAAAAAAUAAAAAAAACCCAUAUUGGUCUUUGACA